rnacentral:rRNA from 1 species
CCGGAUUCAUUGGGUUUAAAGGGUGCGUAGGCUGUUUUGUAAGUCAGCGGUGAAAGACCGGGGCCCAACUCCGGAAGUGCCGUUGAUACUGCAUUGCUAGAGUUCCCCUGCCGUGGGAGGAAUGAGUGGUGUAGCGGUGAAAUGCAUAGAUAUCACUCAGAACACCGAUUGCGAAGGCAUCUCACGAAGAGGCAACUGACGCUGAGGCACGAAGGCGUGGGGAUCAAACAGGAUUAGAUACCCUGGUAGUCCACGCUGUAAACGAUGAUGACUAGCUGCCGGCGAUACACUGUCGGUGGCCCAGCGAAAGCGAUAAGUCAUCCACCUGGGGAGUACGACCGCAAGGUUGAAACUCAAAGGAAUUGACGGGGGCCCGCACAAGCGGAGGAACAUGUGGUUUAAUUCGAUGAUACGCGAGGAACCUUACC